UGGGGAAUAUUGGACAAUGGGGGAACCCUGAUCCAGCAAUGCCGCGUGUGUGAAGAAGGCCUGAGGGUUGUAAAGCACUUUUCAGAGGGGAGGAGGACUAUUAGGUUAAGAGCUAGAUAGUUGGACGUUACCCUCAGAAUAAGCACCGGCUAACUCUGUGCCAGCAGCCGCGGUAAUACAGAGGGUGCAAGCGUUGUCCGGAUUUAUUGGGUUUAAAGGGUGCGUAGGCGGUUUGUUAAGUUGGAUGUGAAAUCCCCGGGCUCAACCUGGGAACUGCAUUCAAAACUGACUGACUAGAGUAUGGUAGAGGGUGGUGGAAUUUCCUGUGUAGCGGUGAAAUGCGUAGAUAUAGGAAGGAACACCAGUGGCGAAGGCGACCACCUGGACUAAUACUGACACUGAGGUGCGAAAGCGUGGGGAGCAAACAGGAUUAGAUACCCCUGUAGUCCCUGAGCGGGCUGGCAAGGCGCAU
rnacentral:rRNA from 1 species